CCGGCUAUAAAUUUAAUCGCGAAAGCGAACUUUAUUAAGUCACCCUGUAGCUGCAUUGGUAGCAGUGUCGUAUCAUCGUAACAACAUGAUACGAUCAACGUGGUUAUUAACUUGACUGCACUGAAGCUACACAACAUCUUACAAAUACUGAUAUGGACUUUGAAGGACGACGCCAGUUUAUCUGGAGGGUCUUCAUCAUGGAAUAACAAUGCAGCAGGAUGGCUUCAACUAGGACUGGCAAAAAAAAUAUUUUCAAUUAUCAAUAGAAAAAUUAAAAAAAAAAAGUCAUGAGCUUUUCUCAUCUAUAUUUGGCCGAGGUUUUCAAGAGGUAUCUGGGUGAUGAUUCCAAGACGUUGUUUCGAAAAAGACCGUUCAACAUAAUGGAAGCUAGAUCCUUGAAGUUCAUUUGGGUCUAAAAUGUAUGCUGAAAAUGGGUGGUCAGCGUUCCAUCACCAUACGGGAUGCAAUCUCCUUCACGAUAAAGGCAUAUUACUUUGGUGUGAGCCCUUCCAUUGUAUAUAGCCGCUGCCUUCAAGACGUAUAUUGGUAAAGCACAAGCAGAAUCGAUCUACUGGAAGCAGAAUCCUUGAAGUUUAUUGGAAAUCUGUGGUAUGCUGUAACCUUCGACAUACAAGAUGCAAGUGCUUCAGAAGAGGGAUGACAAAUCUUUGGUAUACGGGAAGCCGAACAAAUAUAUUUAGACAAAGCUCGAGACAGAAUCCUGAACAAAGACUGCAUUAAAAUUGCGAUGCAGAAUUUAUGCAGAAGCAAUUCUAGAUAUAAGUAGUUCAAUUUAAACGUCUUGAUUAAGAUACUGGAGCUGGCACCAAAAGCUGUCUAAAAGAAUCAAAAUCUCAAAUUCAUACAUCUUAACUGAGUCGUUCGAAGGAAUAAGGAUAAACAAUCUUUCCCUUCACAGGAAGCUGAAACGAUGGAGCGAAUAUUUGUAAUUGAUUUUAGAAGAAUUUGAGUGUCUUGAAGAAAAACUGAAAUAGGAUACCGAAGUCUCAGAAGAGGAAUGCUUGCAUACGAUAAAAUGAACUUGCAAGGUUCCAAGAGAUGGACAAUCCUUUGAUCCAGGAAACGGAAUCCUUCGAAUGGAUUGGCAAAAGUUUCCAGAGAAGAUUUUCCUGAUAAGAAUUUAAGUGAAGAAACCUUCAGACUCUAGUUGAUACGAAUAUAAGAUGUCUCAGAAGAUGAAGAUGAGAUUUUCGAUUUAUGUACAUACAUAAAUUAGAUUGUAAUAAAUUAAUCCAAAAGGAUGGACCAUCCUUUGAGGCGCAGAAUGUAGAAUCCCUUGCACAAUACGAUGUGAUGAAUCUAAGAAGUUCAAAGAGAAUGAGAAUGAUCAACCUAUUACCAGAAAAAUAUCAGAAGUCUAAUUAUUAUGAUUGUGUUUUAAACUACCAUAAGUGUUCAUGAGGUAACGGGUUGACUUUCCAUAACGGUCCUGGUUGUGGAUAUGUCUUCUUCAGGUAUGCGAACCUGCCUACGUGAGCCACUUUUUUCUGAAUCCUUGAGCUACGAAAAAAGUGUCCUUAACCCUCUCAUCCCUUCUCUUCAUCAUCCCUCUUUUUCCUUACCCCCUCGUGAUGACAAGAAGAAAGCAACUGGCGUUUUGAAGAUGGAAUGGAAGUUCGAAUUAAUACCUCAACCAAGGUUGUACUGACCGGUGUUCCUUGACGUAGGUCCCCAAACAAGCAGAAAUUGAAGAUGGUUUGGCUCGAUGACGUCUGUAAUUGGGUGUAAAUGAAUGAACGCUCAUUCAUUUUUGCUCGAUGAAGACACUGACAAGUUGCCGGGACAAACACUCCUAGAUCUACCCUGUUGGUUUAAAGGGUUGACUAACCAGAGUAGAACCCACUGUAUGAUUUUGGUUCCAAUGUUAAUUGCUACUUUUUCAUUUUUGAUGCCGAUUAUUUUUUCUUGAAAUCCUUUCAAGGUUAUGGCGCACCGGAAUUUCGAAAGAGCUGUACAGGUUUUAUCGAUCUUCCCUCGAGACCUCGAGAUCUGAUUUGAAGCGUUCCCAUAAAUUCGAAACUAAUCAACUUGAAUUAUUUGCUAAAUUGACAUAGGUACGUGUUGAAAAAAGAUGAAAAGCGGGAAUUUCGACUGAUUCUGAAAACGAUGGAAAACAUAGGUAAUUUUCAUCGGGCUUUUUCUUCUUGCUACGUUAUUACUUGGUAUUUUUCCGUUUUUGUUGGUUAAUUUUUCGGCCUUUACUUUGGCGUCACAGGUCUUGCGAUCUUACUGAAUUCGAUAAUAUACUCGCGAUCAGGAUUGAACUUGAUUACUUAAGUGAUCUAGAAUGAGGCAGUUCAUUCCUUCGAUUCGUGUCUAAAUUUCUUUUCGGCAUCGCAAGACCACCGAACAGAACCAUGAAUAACUCUAUCCCCUAAUAAAUCGACGAGAGUUAUGUUCAUUGCUGUCCGGUUUGAAAAAUUGAUAUUUGGAUCUACGUGACAAUAAAAAUGGGAAAUUCUCUCUUAAUUUCAGCGGAUAGCCUUUUUAGGUGAUUUGAAGAGCCUGUGAAACUUGCUUCGCAAAAAAAACUAAGUAGGAAUUUUUAGAGAUUUCCGCCGGUUUUUUUCCCGUAUAACUGCCGGAUGUUGAAGUGUCUUUAUCAAACGGGACUUUUAACGAUUCGGAUUUUUUCAGUAAAUUUUUUUCGAAUUUAUGGCUGAUGUGGAUAUGAAGGAAUAUCUCUAUUUUAUCUCAUUUAUUUUUCAUUAUAUUAGAAUAUGUAAUACAAUUUACAAUAUUACUUAUGCAUAUAAAUUACCAAAUUUUUCUUGAAUUAUAAGACUGAAAUCGUGGCUGAAAUAAAUUGUAAGCUGACAAUCAAUAAAAAUUGUAAAAAAAUA